rnacentral:lncRNA from 1 species
AGGACUUCUAAAUCACUACCAAGCUGCUGCUCUUCGUCCCGGAUCAGCUACCGUCCGGGCCUUCCAAAACUGAUCUCGAUCCCCGCCAGCUCACGCUCACAAUGUGAAGAGACCAACGCUUCGAAGUCGGACCAAACCUUCCCCUUCCUAAGCCUGGCAGGAAGAGGCUGUGCUCCAAGGGGACCACAGGGACCACGCGGCCGGCUCCUAACUUCUGCUGUCCUGCACCAGUCAGACUGCUGUCUUUCUGUGUCUGAGAAGUGCUGUGCCCCACCCUACCCUGCGCUCAGGACCACUGGCACCCAGGGCAGUGCUCGCACCGGGGAGGAGCCUGUGAGCGCCUGUUUGAGCCCUGAACAAGCCAAUCUGCACAGAAGGCAGAGAUGGUCCCGGUGUGGGAUUCACGCUGAGAUUCCACAGGAAGAGUUUACAAGUGAAUAUCACUGAAGUAUGCAGUAACUUCUGGAACAAGUCCUGCUGCCUUUGAAUAGCGGCGUCCCACCCUCCAGCGAACAGCUCCAAACCGCAGGCCACCCCUAAAGCCUGUUUCUGUGGUCGGGUCUGUGUGCGCCUCUGCAGCCCCGGCUUGUGCCCCGUGCUCCUCCAGGAGCGUCAGACACCUUCUGCUGGGUUGGGAUCGGCAAAUCCCAUUUGUGAGGACCGUUGUCCAGUUUUGAUGUGGA